rnacentral:rRNA from 1 species
UAUAUUCUGUAGCAAGGUUAACCGAAUAGGGGAGCCGGAGGGAAACCGAGUCUUAACCGGGCGUUAAGUUGCAGGGUAUAGACCCGAAACCCGGUGAUCUAGCCAUGGGCAGGUUGAAGGUUGGGUAACACUAACUGGAGGACCGAACCGACUAAUGUUGAAAAAUUAGCGGAUGACCUGUGGCUGGGGGUGAAAGGCCAAUCAAACCGGGAGAUAGCUGGUUCUCCCCGAAAGCUAUUUAGGUAGCGCCUCGUGAAUUCAUCUCCGGGGGUAGAGCACUGUUUCGGCUAGGGGGCCAUCCCGGCUUACCAACCCGAUGCAAACUGCGAAUACCGGAGAAUGUUAUCACGGGAGACACACGGCGGGUGCUAACGUCCGUCGUGAAGAGGGAAACAACCCAGACCGCCAGCUAAGGUCCCAAAGUCAUGGUUAAGUGGGAAACGAUGUGGGAAGGCCCAGACAGCCAGGAUGUUGGCUUAGAAGCAGCCAUCAUUUAAAGAAAGCGUAAUAGCUCACUGGUCGAGUCGGCCUGCGCGGAAGAUGUAACGGGGCUAAACCAU